ACGGCCGUUGUGCGGGGGACCAUGAUGGCGCUGAAUCACAUGAGGAAGGAUAAAGGGGGUAGGGGCGGCGUCAUCAUCAACACCGCGUCAAUGGCAGCGUUGCUGCCUACAUACUGGUUCCCUGUUUAUGGAGCCAGUAAGAGCGCUGUUUAUCACUUCACGUCGAGUUGGGCACAAAAUCCUGAAAUUAAAGCUGCCGAAGUUCGACUGAUCAGUA